rnacentral:rRNA from 1 species
GAUGAACGCUGGCGGCGUGCCUAAUACAUGCAAGUCGAGCGAAUGGAUUAAGAGCUUGCUCUUAUGAAGUUAGCGGCGGACGGGUGAGUAACACGUGGGUAACCUGCCCAUAAGACUGGGAUAACUCCGGGAAACCGGGGCUAAUACCGGAUAACAUUUUGAACCGCAUGGUUCGAAACUGAAAGGCGGCUUCGGCUGUCACUUAUGGAUGGACCCGCGUCGCAUUAGCUAGUUGGUGAGGUAACGGCUCACCAAGGCAACGAUGCGUAGCCGAACUGAGAGGGUGAUCGGCCACACUGGGACUGAGACACGGCCCAGACUCCUACGGGAGGCAGCAGUAGGGAAUCUUCCGCAAUGGACGAAAGUCUGACGGAGCAACGCCGCGUGAGUGAUGAAGGCUUUCGGGUCGUAAAACUCUGUUGUUAGGGAAGAACAAGUGCUAGUUGAAUAAGCUGGCACCUUGACGGUACCUAACCAGAAAGCCACGGCUAACUACGUGCCAGCCGCCGCGGUAA